rnacentral:rRNA from 1 species
GACAGAGGGUGCAAACGUUGUUCGGAAUUACUGGGCAUAAAGCGCGUGUAGGCUGCCCCGAAAGUCAGGUGUGAAAGCCCUGGGCUCAACCCAGGAAGUGCACUUGAAACUUCGGGGCUUGAGUUCUGGAGAGGAUGGCGGAAUUCUCGGUGUAGAGGUGAAAUUCGUAGAUAUCGAGAAGGAACGACCGGUGGCGAAGGCGGCUAUCUGGGAAUGUUCUGA